rnacentral:rRNA from 1 species
ACUGCCUGCCCAGUGACACUUGUUCAACGGCCGCGGUAUUAUGACCGUGCAAAGGUAGCGUAAUCACUUGUCUUUUAAAUAAAGACCGGUAUGAAUGGCAAAACGAAAACUCAACUGUCUCCUCAGACAAGUCAGUGAAAUUGAUUUCCCCGUGAAGAAGCAGGGAUAAUAAUAUAAGACGAGAAGACCCUAUGGAGCUUUAAACCAAAACUACCCACCCUAUUAAAACUUUAAAAAGUGGAAUUAGCCAUAGGUUUUGGGUUGGGGCGACCACGGAGUAAAAAUUAACCUCCGAGAAAUAAUUAAGAAGAACAUUUCAAAAAAUAAUAAUGUUAUACAUUGACCCAAUAAUUGAUCAACGAACCAAGUUACCCUAGGGAUAACAGCGCAAUCCUCUCAAAGAGUCCCUAUCGACGAGAGGGUUUACGACCUCGAUGUUGGAUCAGGACCCCCAAAUGGUGCAAAAGCUAUUAAAGG